CUGCUCUGGUUUCUCUUCAGAUCGUAUAAAUCUUUCACCUUUUACUAAAGAUUUCCGUGGAGAGGAACAUUUAUGAGUUUUCAUGGGAAAAUUUCUAUAAAAUGUUUUAUAGAUGGCACCU